CCUGCAUUUAGAUACAGGUAGAUAGUUACUCCCUACAUACAGAUACAGUUAGACCUUACAGGUAAAAACAGGUGGUCCCUAGGGUUAGACACAGUAAAGAUCUACAGGUAGAUACAGGUAGACCCUAUAUUUAGAAACAGGUAGAUAGUUACUCCCUACAUACAGAUACAGUUAGACCUUACAGGUAAAAACAGGUGGUCCCUAGGGUUAGACACAGUAAAGACC